CCUACGGGAGGCAGCAGUGAGGAAUAUUGGUCAAUGGACGAGAGUCUGAACCAGCCAAGUAGCGUGAAGGAUGACUGCCCUAUGGGUUGUAAACUUCUUUUAUAUGGGAAUAAAAUGUUCCACGUGUGGGAUUUUGUAUGUACCAUAUGAAUAAGGAUCGGCUAACUCCGUGCCAGCAGCCGCGGUAAUACGGAGGAUCCGAGCGUUAUCCGGAUUGAUUGGGUUUAAAGGGAGCGUAGGUGGAUUGUUAAGUCAGUUGUGAAAGUUUGCGGCUCAACCGUAAAAUUGCAGUUGAAACUGGCAGUCUUGAGUACAGUAGAGGUGGGCGGAAUUCGUGGUGUAGCGGUGAAAUGCGUAGAUAUCACGAAGAACUCCGAUUGCGAAGGCAGCUCACUGGACUGCAACUGACACUGAGGCUCGAAAGUGUGGGUAUCAAACAGGAUUAGAUACCCGAGUAGUC
rnacentral:rRNA from 1 species